GACGAACGCUGGCGGCGCGCUUAACACAUGCAAGUCGAACGGAAAGGCCUGCUUUCCCUUGUGGAUUGCGGGUACUCGAGUGGCGAACGGGUGAGUAACACGUGAGUGAUCUGCCCCCAACUUGGGUAUAAGCCUGGGAAACUGGGUCUAAUUCCCGAUAGGACUGCAGGGUGGUGCCUGUGGUGGAAAACGAUUUUCUAGUGGUUGGGGAUGAGCUCGCGGCCUAUCAGCUUGUUGGUGGGGUAAUGGCCUACCAAGGCGGCGACGGGUAGCCGGCCUGAGAGGGUGGACGGGCAGAUUGGGACUGAGAGACGGCCCAGACUCCUACGGGAGGCAGCAGUGGGGAAUAUUGCACAAUGGGCGGAAGCCUGAUGCAGCGACGCCGCGUGGGGGAUGACGGCCUUCGGGUUGUAAACUCCUUUCGACCGCGAGGAAGCCACCUGGUUGGAAGGGUGGUGACGGUAGUGGUAGAAGAAGCACCGGCUAACUACGUG
rnacentral:rRNA from 1 species